AUCUAGCUGACGAGUCACAACUAGGACGAAACGCGUGUCCUGGAU
rfam:Schistosoma margrebowiei strain Zambia genome assembly, scaffold: SMRZ_scaffold0000475